UGGGGAAUCUUGCGCAAUGGGCGAAAGCCUGACGCAGCGACGCCGCGUGCGGGAAGAAGGCCUUCGGGUUGUAAACCGCUUUCAGGAGGGACGAAGCCACUCGGGUUAAUAGCCCAGAGGGUGACGGUACCUCCAGAAGAAGCCCCGGCUAACUACGUGCCAGCAGCCGCGGUAAUACGUAGGGGGCAAGCGUUGUCCGGAUUUAUUGGGCGUAAAGCGCGUGUAGGCGGCCAGGUAAGUCGGCUGUGAAAACUCGAGGCUCAACCUCGAGAUGUCGGCCGAAACUAUCUGGCUAGAGUCCGGAAGAGGAGAAUGGAAUUCCCGGUGUAGCGGUGAAAUGCGCAGAUAUCGGGAAGAACACCCGUGGCGAAGGCGGUUCUCUGGGACGGUACUGACGCUGAGACGCGAAAGCGUGGGGAGCGAACAGG
rnacentral:rRNA from 1 species